GUAGCUUGCUAUUUGCUGACGACCGGCGCACGGGUGCGUAACGCGUAUAGAAUCUACCUUAUNCUGGGGGAUAGCCUUUGGAAACGAAGAUUAAUACCCNAUAGUAUUAUUUUUUGGCAUCAUUAAAUAAUUAAAGUUUCGGCGGUAUAAGAUGACUAUGCGUUCUAUUAGUUAGUUGGUAAGGUAACGGCUUACCAAGACUUCGAUAGAUAGGGGUCCUGAGAGGGAGAUCCCCCACACUGGUACUGAGACACGGACCAGACUNCUACGGGAGGCAGCAGUGAGGAAUAUUGGACAAUGGAGGCAACUCUGAUCCAGCCAUGCCGCGUGUAGGAAGACUGCCCUAUGGGUUGUAAACUACUUUUAUAUGGGAAGAAUAAGAUCUACGUGUAGAUUGAUGACGGUACCAUAAGAAUAAGCACCGGCUAACUCCGUGCCAGCAGCCGCGGUAAUACGGAGGGUGCAAGCGUUAUCCGGAAUCAUUGGGUUUAAAGGGUCCGUAGGCGGGCAUAUAAGUCAGUGGUGAAAGUCUGUGGCUUAACCAUAGAAUUGCCAUUGAUACUGUAUGUCUUGAAUUAUUGUGAAGUGGUUAGAAUAUGUAGUGUAGCGGUGAAAUGCUUAGAGAUUACAUAGAAUACCGAUUGCGAAGGCAGAUCACUAACAAUAUAUUGACGCUGAUGGACGAAAGCGUAGGUAGCGAACAGGAUUAGAUACCCUGGUAGUCUACGCCGUAAACGAUGGAUACUAGUUGUUUGGUUUUCGGACUGAGUGACUAAGCGAAAGUGAUAAGUAUCCCACCUGGGGAGUACGUUCGCAAGAAUGAAACUCAAAGGAAUUGACGGGGGCCCGCACNAGCGGUGGAGCAUGUGGUUUAAUUCGAUGAUACGCGAGGAACCUUACCAGGGCUUAAAUGUAGUCUGACAGCUUUAGAGAUAGAGUUUUCUUCGGACAGAUUACAAGGUGCUGCAUGGUUGUCGUCAGCUCGUGCCGUGAGGUGUCAGGUUAAGUCCUAUAACGAGCGCAACCCCUGUGGUUAGUUGCCAGCGAGUAAUGUCGGGAACUCUAGCCAGACUGCCGGUGCAAACCGUGAGGAAGGUGGGGAUGACGUCAAAUCAUCACGGCCCUUACGUCCUGGGCCACACACGUGCUACAAUGGUAGGGACAGAGAGCAGCCACUUAGCGAUAAGGAGCGAAUCUAUAAACCCUAUCUCAGUUCGGAUUGGAGUCUGCAACUCGACUCCAUGAAGCUGGAAUCGCUAGUAAUCGGAUAUCAGCCAUGAUCCGGUGAAUACGUUCCCGGGCCUUGUACACACCGCCCGUCAAGCCAUGGAAGCUGGGGGUACCUGAAGUCCGUCACCGUAAGGAG
rnacentral:rRNA from 1 species